AUAAUAAUUUGAGAAUAAUGAAGGGAUCCACUGUGUACUACUCUUUAUUAAUAAAAGAAUAAAUACAAAGCAUAAAAAACUAAAACAAAAAAAUUCCAAAACAUGGAUAGAUACAUCUAUUUGAGAUAAAAGAGUUGCUUUUUUUAAAGAAUUGUGUACAGGUUUGAAAAAUCCAUCUGGAUAAGACAAACAUUUAAUAAUCCUUCAUGCCGGAUCUGAAUAUGGAUUUGUUAUGCAUUGCUAAUAAUUGAAAGUAAAAAACACUCGGUGCUGUAAUUGUAAUGAAUAAUGCAUCUUACCACAGCCAUAGGGUAGAAAUAUUUCAACAUCUUCAUUGAAAAUAUAUAAGCAAUAAUGGUUAUAAUUCAAGAAUAUACAUUUUUAUAUGAAUAUGGUUCGAUCUGAACUUAUAUUAUAAAACAGCAUAAAAAUAAGUUUAAUUCAUGUGUUACUGAUGAAAUGACACAGAAAAUGACAAAAUUGUACUUAGGCUGCCACCAUAUCAUUGUGAAUUGAACACUAUAGAAUUGACUUGGACUCAAGUCCAAAACAAAGUGGCAGCCAAAAAUACUACUUUUAAACAGAAAGAUGUAAAAGAUCUUCUAAUGCAAGCUUUAUUAAAUGUGACAUUUACUGGCAAAAUUGUAUUACACAUGUCAUAAAAGAAGAUGAUGAAGUUCAAGUUAGAUAGGAUUGUGGAUGAUCUUAUAAGACUGAUAAUCAUUUCUUUUUCUAGUGAUGACAGUGAGGCAGUUUCUCAGUUAAUUAUUAUUUGUAUAAAUUUAUUUAGUGUUUCUUGAGUUAACAAAUAAUAGGCAAUGUCAUUAAUAGUUCUGAUAUACUGUAAGUUGUCUAUGUUCUAAGCUCCUAAUAAUCUUCAUAAUACCGAAUUUUUGGUCCUCAAUUUGAAAAUUAAAAAAUCAUUCAUUCACGGAAUCAAGUUAUCCAGUAUAAAUAACCCUAUAUUUCAUAUAUUAUUGAAGGUGACGACAUAUUUGAGUAUUUUCUCUUUAUUUCCAUUGAACAUAGAUUGAGCUUUAAAACAAGUACAGAGUAAAAAUCCACCCCAAUCUAUUAUUUAAAACCUACAAUAAAAGUAGUUACCAACAAUACCUAACUAAACAAAGGUAAAAAUGAAUCCUGAUAUGCAUUCGAAAUCACAAAACAAUAGUGUAGAACAAACUAAAUAGAGAAGUAGAUUAUGCAUGUCAAAGGAAAACAAAUUACCCAAUGGAAAUGAAAAUCUAUUAAAACAUAUAAUCGAAGAUAUUUAUACCAGUACUCCUCAAAAAUGAAAUGCAAAAGUUGCAGACAGUAUUCAUAUAUGAACGACAAUGGGGAAUGCCUUUCUCGGUUCAUUGUUAAACUUAGUUCAAAUGGCAAGUAGGAAUUAGUAAAAUGUUAAAGAAAUAUUUUUUAUUUAUUAUUUUAUACCUAAUUAUUAAUUAGGGUCAGUUAAGGUGACAAUUAAUGGAACACAUGUGGAACAUAAAAAUAAAUUGAGGAGAAGGGUUUUCCAAAUUAGACUAGGAAAUCAAUCAAUGCUGAAAAUUUUAUGAUAGAUACUACUACAAUGCAUGAACCAAGAUUAUGUGUGAGAAAGAAGAGCCCAGAAGAUUACUUUGUACGUGGCAUAUUAUUAAGAAUUGUAAUAUACAGAGAAGGUACGUGAACACAAAAAAUAAUAUAAGAUUUGAAUGAGAUGAGAAGCAUAUUAAAGGAGACGAAUAUUAACAAAUUUAUGGAACUGAAGAAUGAUUAUUUUAAAUGGGUGUUUAGGAGAGCAAGAUGAGCUCAUAUUUACAAAAAGUGAAGGAAGAAAUAAAAUGUGGGCCCAUUGAUACAGAAAUCAUAUAGGAAUGAAUACCAAUAUCACAAUAGAAAGAUUGAAUAAGUUUUUAAUGUAUUAUACAUUAAGUGGAAACUUAAUUUUAGGGUUGUUAUAUGUAUUAGAAGAAAUUAUAGAUGAAAAAAUGUGGAAUAUUAUUGAUAUCGAAAGACCACAUACCAAUAAUUACCACAGAAAAGUUACUAUGGAAAUACAGAACAAAGCAGAAGAUAUUUAGGACUGCAUAGAAAUGAUUGAGAUGAUGAAAUUUGAGGUAGAAUCUAAUUUGGCUAGUGGUAAAUUUUAUAAGGUUUCUUGCAACUAAUUUGGUAACUUGUGUUUAACAGGGUAUUUAACAGAGUGUUUAACAGAGUAUUGUAAUGUAUCGACAAAGAAGAUUUAAUAGAUAAUAUUAGAUAUUUCGAGAAGAACGACUUUUAUAAAUGAAAAGAAAUGGGAAGUAAUCAUGAACAAAAUUGUUUUAUGAAGCAUAUUAAAAAUUCUGACUGAUGCUCUUGGGACUGACCAUAAAUUACGUAACGCGGAAAUUUCAAAAUUUCAUGGCCUGUCUGCAGGGCCGUAUUAAGCUAGGGGCUUGGGGGGGCUAUAGCCCCGGGCCCCAGGUCCAAGAGGGCCCCAUCAUUUGGAAAUCAUUCUGUAUUUUUUGAUGUGUUGAUACCACAAAUCUAACGUAUUGAUAUUAUUUUGUGAAUUUUUCCGGGUUUUCAAAUUCCCUAAGGGAGCCCCGUCAUUAUUUUAGCCCCGGGCCUUAUAAAUCUUAAUCCGGCCCUGCCUGUCUGUCUGUCUGUAAUGCUACCGUAACCGUGCUCUACCCUGUCUGUCUGUCUAGGAUAACGUAACAACCUGUCGAAAAAGAAAAACGAGUUACAUAGACCAUAAAAAAGCUAUUGAAAAACGAUGUUUUGCUUAUGUAUGUUUAUUCAACUUAAAUAUUGCAAGCUAACUAAUCUAAUGUCAUAUUAUAUGACUGCUAAGAUUAUAUUUGCUCUGAUACAUUUUUUGUCUUAAAAAUAAAUAAAUUUUGGAAUUUGGGUUUUUAAACAUGUCUUGGGCGUAUCUUAAGUUAUACACUCAUUUUAGAUUAAUCAGUACAAUUAUAAAAAUAAUUUCGUGUCCUCGGUAAAAGGAUUUUCCAACCACUCUUCAAGAUUAUGAAUUUCUGGAACAGAAUUUUUCCCAAGUUCAUAAUAAUUGAUUAUAUUCAGAUUCUCUAUAUCAACGUUCUCUUCGUCCACCCACUCGACGUGUUCUGAUUCUGCAUUUUUCUUUAUUAAGAUUUCUUUGCCUCGUCUUGCAAUAACUUUAAAUGGCUUGACUCUUUCUGAUAACGACACAGAUGAACCAUAUAUGCUUUGCUUAUGAAUUUUGAGAUUUUUUUUUGUAGUGAAAUACAAGCCACACGAGUUGCAAGCUCUUCCCAACAAGUCUUUUUGCACGCUUGGGCAAAAAUAGUCAUACGCCAUGCUAGUGAAUCUUUGUAUCUACAUCAGGCUGAGGAACUUCGACUUUUGUCGAAGUUUGUUUUAGUGAGUACGGCGGGGGCAAAAACCCAUCUUCCAAAACUUGUUUCAGUCCACUUCUAGCAGAUUUACAGCAAUUUUCCUCAGAGCAUUUUGAGAUCUAAAAUGAUUAUAAAGUGAUUAUUUGCACAUGAAUUCAUAUUACAAUUUUGUAAAUCUUGUGGUAUUUCAACGUUUACCUGAAGAAAAUAUUGACUUUCUCUCACAUGCUUUGAAUACCGCACUUGAUGUGAUGGUAAAUUAGGGAUCGGUAUAUCUUCCUGUGGUUCUACAUAUUCUGCCAUCACUUUAUAACCAUUAACUACGCAUUUACUUAAAAUGUCCCCACAAACUUUUGCAGCAAAAGCAAAAUUUUUUAGCUUCAAGUCAUUGUCGAUGGUGGAUGAUUUAGCAUCUAAAUUAUUUUCAAAGUGGUCAUGUUCGAGUACAACGCCUGCCAGUUCUCUGCUGAGGGGUACCAUUUUUCUUUCUACUGGAUUGAAAGCACUUCUUCCCGGUGCAUUGGUAAAAAUUAAUAUUGCAUCCAAAUCGUACUUUUCAUCUGGCCCGCCAUCAACAGAGAAAAAAACAACUGGUUUCACAAAACCAUUUUCAUGUAGCAUAUUUUGCUUGAAAGACUCAAUUUCUAAUAAUUUUUCAAAAUCAACAGCGUGAGUAGAAGCAGUUGAUUUUGAGUGCUUUCCGCUUCUAAUCGCAACGUAAGUCGGUCCCGAGUACGUUACAGCUUUUGCAGAGCCCAUCAUAUCAGGCAAAACAACUAAUAAAGCGUAGACAGACGGUAUAAGUUUGUGCCUUUCAGCUACCACCCAAUCGUGGUCUGGAAGUUUGACCUAGAAAAAUUCGUUAAUGAACUGAUUGCAUACAAUAUCUUUCUUUGCUAUCAAUAUUUAUUUAAUUGGGAAAUUGAUACCAGUUUGAAAUUUUACCGAAGAAACGUAUUACCUGAUAAUGCAAGUGCAUAAAAAUAGGCGCUUGUUUAUUUGCUGCUGUGAUUCUCAAUGGCACUCUUGCGUUAUCAUCCUGAGGUAGAAAAAUGACUUGUCCAAGAAUUGAUGCCAAAACUUGAGUUUGCCUAAUACUAGCAGUACAGAAAUAUUGAUCGGGGUUACUCUUGUGCAAGUUUGUUUGAGCUUUCUUGUGCUUUACAGGAACAAUGUUUAUGUGUCGCCUGCCUUCAAUCGUAUUCGAUUUUCGUGGAAUCAGACAUAAGUAAAGUGCACUUCGCGAGAUAGAAUAAUCCAUAUUUUGUAAUUCCCUAUGCAGAUCAUCUAGUGUUUUACAGCUGCUCAAAAUUUCAGUUCGCCUUCUUGCAUCAGUGGAAGCACCAUGACUCACUAAUUUCACAAUUGCCUUGAGUAUUUUUGACUGAUUUGUCUCUAUUCUACCCCGCCCAGGUUUAUCACAUACGUUCAACUCAUUUGAAAUCUCUGGGUGCUUUUCGCAUAAAUUUUUCAAAGCAGAAGCUCCUUUGUCUCUAUGUUUUUUAUGUCUACUUGCAUUACCUUGUAAUCUCUUUAAGUCCUGUUUCUUUUCUUUCAAUUUUUUCUGCACGUUUGGUACACUUUUGCAGCCUCACCAUUAUCUAAACCAUUAUCUUUCGUAAUAAUAGCACUUUGUAACUGAGCUUUUAAGAUUUCUUGAGUGCAUAAAUCUUGUGCUGGCGUGUUGUAGACUUUAUCCAAAACAUUUUCAAACGAUGAAUUUUCGACGUUCAAAGACGUACUUCAAGAAGGUUGUACUGGUUUAUUGUAGGUUUUAUUUGAAGCAUUCUUUGUUGACCAGUGUUCCACGUUUGAAGACGUUUUUGGAACGUCUAAAUUUAAAUCGAAUUAAUAUUUUUAUUUUUGAUUAUUUAAACCAGUACUAAAAUAACACAAACUAGUUCAUUUUGCAAAAAAGUCAUUACUGCCGAUAAAGAAAAAAUUAAAAACGUGCAAAAAUGAAUAUUUUAUUUUAAAAAAUAUCUCAGUUCCCACCUGCUAGGAAACUAUUCGAUGACAGGCCAUCAUCAUUUGUUUUGUGAGAACUAUCGGGCGCGACUGUGGAUCGAGUAUCUGAUAUUUUUACCGAGGAUAAUUUCUAAAUAACAUUAAACAAAGUUACGAUGAGCCAUUGAACAUGCGAAUAUUUAUAAUCUAAUAAAACUAUUAAAAAAGUAGUUUCAAAAAUGAUCGGGAUUUGACGUAAAUAUUUUAAUUACCGUAGUAUAUAUUAGUAUACUUUGAGCUUUCUUUUGUGUCAAUUUUUCGUUACACUCCUUUGCAGCUUUUAUUUUUUCCUCUCUAUCCACUAUCUUGCCAACUCUAUCUUUCCAAGCAUCCAAAAAUUUAGCGUCAACCUUGGCUUUUGGUUGAUACUGAUAACACAGCUUGUACUUUUGUUUUGCACUAUUGAAUAAAUCGGUUAUGUCUGACCUCAUUUUAUCGAAUAACUCUUUUUCUUAAUCAAAAACGGAAUCACUGAAUUUUCAAGACUGAGAACUUCACAUUUUUGAGAACAGAUGCAGGCUGGAUUCACUAUAUUUUCAUUUCACUAUAAUAAUAGGCAGAACUUUUUCGAACAUGUUGAGAAAUUAUCAAUAUAUAUUAAAAAGCUGAUUGGACCUAAUUUAUUUUGUAUUUUAUUUGAGACAAUUCAUAAGCCUCUUGAUUUUGUAUUUCAAUUUGUCAUAAUUAGGAUUUACUAAAUUGUUAGGUUUCACAAUGAAUGAAAUGAAAUGAAAUGAAAUAAAAAGUGGAGAAAUUUAUGAAAAAGGAUUCCAUUUAAGAGUAAUGCAAUUUAUUUCUUUUAUAAUACAUGGAUGUAAGUGAAAAUUAUGCAUUUCGUUCAACAUUCAUUUUGAAUGAUUAUUUUCAGGUCCUGUGUCACUACAACUAUUUUUAAAUUGGUGCAAAUUAUCUACUUACAUAAGAAUUUUGUUGAAUUAUAUUGGCCUAUAAUAGAGUUUUUUAUUAUUUGUAGAAUGUAGUAUGAGUAAUGAGCUAUAAGAGUCAUUUCAUGUCUAAUUCGUUCCAUCAGGUCUUCAAAAUUGUAUGGUCGGUUAACUUGGUAUUUUUUAAUGUUACAACAAAAAAAAUCAUCCAGGAGAGUGAGAUCAAAUAACCUAGGUUCCUCCAUUGAUCCACGUCUUGUAAUCUACAUUCUUUCAAACUGGUUAUCCAGAAACCUUCGAAUACAAUAACCAUAAUAUGAUGGACAACUUUCUUGUUGGAACCAUAUAGUGGGCCAAGUUUUCCUAUUAUUUAGAUUAAAAAAUCCGCAAUUAGGUCUAGCAGCACUGCCAUACAAAGAAGGUCCAAAUAUUGGUAAGCUGUUAAUUCACGUGAAAGAAAUAAGGACCAAUAAAUCUUCCACUUGCGAAUUCCUACCAAAACGAAAACUUAUUGAUUUACUGUGUCAAUUAAACAGAACGUAGCCUCGUUUGAAAAUACUACAAAAUAAAGAAAAUUUGGAUUCUCAUCACUGUACUUCAUAAAGAUUUCACAAAAUUCCAAAUAUCUGCUGAGAGAGAGAGAGAGAGAGAGAGAGAGAGAGAGAGAGAGAGAGUUCAUGAACAAGGUAAACUUUGUAAAUAUGGGUACAGAUUUUCUUUACUCAAAAAAUUACUACAAACGACUGACUAAUAUUUUGAUGUGAGGCAAUUUCUGUUGUUGUUGUUGUUUUAGCACGAUUUAGGCCUCUAUCAAUCUUUUGAUUACAAUAAAAUUUAUUGAAAAAAUACUCAUUAAAAAAGUUUUAUAUGAAAUACUAUAUUACGGUAUUUACAAAUUUGAACAGACAAACAUAACAUAAAAUAUUCAUAUUUACAGUCUUAUAUAUUUCGCAGGUGAAUUCAAUGGAAAUUUAAUUGUUCAAUUUACGAAAAAAAUAUUGCUUGAAUGUUCCCUGUUUUACUAUAUUAGAUGAUUAUGUUGUGAUCUUAGUCGAUAAAAACAUGCUUGAUAGAAUCCAGAACCAAACACCUAAAAAAACAACUAGGUAUAGAACAUUUUGGAAUAAGUGAAAUAUCAAAAUUAUAAUAUAAAUAUUUUUAUUCUAAUCCGAAUAAUUCUAUAGCAGAUAGUAAAAAGUACUAUUUGUUCUAAAUAAAAUAUUAAGCAAAUUUUCAAUCUGUUAUUAUUAUGAUUAUUAUAAAGAAUAGGAAGGGCUAUCGGUUCGAACUGCUUGGGUAAUCCCAUUGUAGUCCUCUUGUUUUCUUCGCGUUAGCUUACGGAGACUCUCCAGAAUUGGGUUUCGCUGACUUUGUAGGAAUAUUCUUCCAUUAGGUCAAAUCUCAGAAUUUUUCUUCUUUUAUUAAUAAGAGCUUGACAAUUGCAUAAGCUGUAUUCCAUAGUUUCUUCCUCUGAUUCUCUACUGUCUGGAUGCCAAACUGGGAUUUUUGGCUUAACCUGGAAGUGAAGUACGGCGAAAGUUUUUUGACGGUUUUUAGUUCGUCUACUUUCAAUAAUAACGAGUCGUACAUCGAUUUAUAUGUUUUUAUGAAUAAGAAUCUCGAAUUUCAGAUCAAAAUAGGUACUAAAUCAGAACAUUGCUUUCUAAAUAAAAUUAGACUGGCAAUACCAGGCGAUGACAAAAUAAGUAUCUGUUCUCCAUAAUAUUCUUCGAGCUUAUUCAGAAGGGAUUUUCUGCUUAACUCUCCUCCGUACAAAACAUACAAAUUAUGUAAAUUAGUACUAUUCCAAGAUUGAAAAAUGUUCUGAGACAUAGUCUCAGUUAGCUUUUGAAAAGGAAAAUCUUCAUUAUCUUGAAAAGUGGUGCUUGAACGAUCCUAGAACUCACUUCUUCUGCCCAUUUGUCUUGGCGUUUUUCACAGGCAUUUUUGGGCGCCAUCUUGAAUUUAUCAAAAUGCUCAAGGGUGACAGAGUGGCAUCAAUCGGAUUCUUAAAAUAGACCUACUAAGUGACCUAAAACCGCAAAAAAAUUUUCAAUGUAUUUUACUUCCAGCUUUUUCGUUUGGCGUCCUGACUAUCAGCUUACAACAACAAUAUUUCCGCUGUCCAGUCUUAGUGGUUCAUCCCACCUAUGAAGGUUUCUGUCUGUUACCAUAUGAUUGAAGCCACGAUUCUUGAUUUUUUCUUUCUCAUAACUCGAGAUGUUUCUUAAUCAGUGAGUAUGGGAUUUCCACUGGAGGUUUGAAUCCUGUCAGCAUUUGCUUGACUCCAAGCUUGACCAAGUCCCAUGAAUCCUGCGUUUCAGAACAGCUUUACCUUUCAAAAGCGAGCUCAUUGAGUUCCUUAUAGUUCCUUAUAUAUAUCCUUAUAUAUAUACUCAUAGAGAUAAUGUGUGCUCUUAAAAUUCUCCAUAUCUUUUUUUAUACAUGUAUCUCAUUUUUUUGAUUGCUUCUAAGUGUAUGGUAGUAAUUGAAUAAUAUAAAAAUUAAGAAAGAAAACAGCUUGAUUUUUGAAAAUGUAGAAUGAUUUUUAAGGGAUGGUCAUCAAUUUAUUCAUGUUCAAUAAACAAUUCAAUGAACUAUUUACUGAGUCAGGUCAUGAAACUCAGUUCUUCUUGUAUCAAUUUUGCUUUUAAAUGCAGAGAAGCAGAUCGUUAGUAAAUAUUGUCUGGAUAUUGUAAUUUGUAAAGCCGAGUAAGUUCCACGACUAUCCUAACAUUUUCUUAUUAUCACAAACCAAAUGACGAAGCGGUAGCAAAACUAGAUGAAAUCAGUUGUUAAAUUUGAUUUGGUUUAGUAAUAUUCAUACUAAGGGAUAAAUUGGCAGCAUAUUUGGGAUCUAUGUAUUAUGUCAGCUAACCCUUUAAUUCAUUCAUAAAUAUACAAACCUUUAUUCCAAGUACUUGAAUUCGUGUUGGCAUUUGUUUUCUUCUCGGGAUUUUUUUUUCCGACAACAAAACGAUAAGUGGCGUUGAAUCCCGUUCCGUCCAACCUAUCAUUUGAUCGAAAAGUUACUCUGAAGAAUUUUUUGUCUGAUUCUACAUCAAAUUCUUUUAGUUGGCCACAGUACCUAGAAAAUUUCCUAUCUCUCGUCAAGAAAUUUGAAAAUUCUACGUAGUCGCUGGCGGAUACUGCUUCACAACUAUAAAAAAUAAAUUGAUAUGAAUAUGUUGACAAAAAACAGCAACUUUUUUUUUAAUUGUCAAUACUAUUUUGUUCCACCAUGUCUUCGACUACUACUUUCAUAGAGGUUAAAAUGAAGCAAAAAUGUGGAUUUUGCCAAAAGAAAUCAUCUAAUGAAGGGAAAAACCUUAUAAACUUGUAAAAAUAUAUGUUCAGAUCAGCAUGGGAAUAAUUAUAAUAGGUAGAUGUGAAAAAUAUUUGGCAUUUGGAAAAUAAGAAAAAACAUUGUAAUUUCUUAUAUAUUUUACAAAUGUACUUACGGUAAAACUCCCUCAACAUCAAAGUAGCUAAAAUGUAAUUGCACACGUUCAGACAUAUUACCAUUAAAAAAGUAAUGACAUUCGGUAUCCCUUGGAUAUAAGCCAGGAUAGUUUGGGCUAUGAAAAUAUCCUUCUUUCGAUUCGUUACUAUUAAAUUCAAAGGCACAUGGGUAAGUAGACAAUUGGGUACCAGUUUUAACACCAAAGUCUGUGAAAAAAAAAUUAAAUGUAAAAUGAUGAUUGAACAUUGGGCCAAAUUCUUAUUGAGUAUCUGGACUUCAAUGUUCCUGAUGUCAAUAAGUAUGGUAAAUACAAUUUCAAUUAUUUAACAACGAAAUUUGGUUGAAACGUUACUUUGAAUUCGAAUUUACCAGGAUCGUAAAGAAAAGAAAGACUACUGCUGUAAUGAUCAUGGUGGCUAAGAUACCAGGGGACGAGGGUUAUAAGAGCAACGAAGAGGUAAAUGAAAUGGCUAAAUAAGUUGUAUUAGCACCAUUUGAUGAACCACAACCCUUCGGCGGCAUUGUUAAAACAAGAAAUCUCCCACUAAAAAAUGUACAAAAGUACAACCGAAAUUCAUAGCAGAAUUGAUAAGUAGACGGGAAAACGAUCAAGACUGAAUAGACAUCUUGACAGAGGAAAUAAUGUGGAUAUUGUAAGCUAGAGUCCACACUAUGUUGCUCGGAUAGUUUAAUUAAAAUGAGAUUUGCGUUGCUAAGUUCAGGAAAGAUAACUAUGAGAGGUAUUCAAAUGCCCUUGAGCUUAUAAAAAUCAUUGACAGUCACGUGUAUCGAGAAAUAAUGUAUAGCCUAAGCAAACAGCCUUGACUGCUUACAGAAGGAUGGAAGUGCUGUUAUUCUUGAAUAACUGAAGGCCAUAGUGAAGGACUGGCUUAUGUCACAGCAGUUCUGGGGAAAAUAGGAUCCUUUGGCUAGAUAAACAGUUAGUUAGUUAUGAUCAGACCUCUGGUGAUUAUCGUACUUUUCCAUCCCUUUCUAUUUCUCAUAAAUGAAGGAUGCAAGUUGAUAAGCUGUAUAAGAAGAAAGAAGUUGGAGAAAUUAAUUUGUUGAAGAUGACCUCAAUAGAUUUGACGUUAGAGACCUGGUAAAGUGGAUACUAUCGAGACAGUCACGAAUUAGAUUUUUCAGAUACAACAGGGUUUCUGUUAAUAUUAAUAUUCUGUUAUUUAAAUUUCAGAAGUACUGGCCUUACUCUUGAAUUUCUCUCCAUAAACAUGGUUUAUUUUUAUUUGAUGCUCUGAUGAUAUUUUAUACUGGGAGUUUGGGAUCGUCUAGUAGAGAUAUAAAGUUAAAACCACAUUCCUCAAGCUCACAAACUUCAAGAUAUAUUCAGUCGUCUUUUAGUUAGUUUAGUAACUAUUUAUUUCAGUAGCUUUUAAAUAAAGUUUUUAAAAUAA